rnacentral:rRNA from 16 species
AACGUUGAAGACGACGACGUUGAUAGGCCGGGUGUGUAAGCGCAGCGAUGCGUUGAGCUAACCGGUACUAAUGAACCGUGAGGCUUAACCUUACAACGCCGAAG